rnacentral:sRNA from 1 species
UAGUAGGUACAACAAGGCGCACGUUUAAAAUAAGAGUUCCAUAAUUGUAUAUUAAAUGUUUAAACAUGAUGUAAUAUAGAUCUAGGUCUUGAUGAUAAGUACAGUAUAAGUGCUUAACAGUUUAAAUUAUUUAGUUGGAUUAGUUUUGUUUUCUAGGAUUAAAACUUUAGUCUCAACAGCAACUCUGCACAAGUCUCUUUAAGCGGCUUAAGUCACUUUAGAAGCUUGUGAUCUCAUACUUGUCGAGUGGUACUUUCUGGUUCCUUGGGUAUUGAUCAAGUUUUGGAGAGGCGCCUAAAGAUCCAGCCGCCACUCUUGUCAUCCAAUUAACAGAUUUUAUACCUAGAUUUUCUCAGUUGGUCUAAGUUUGUUCUCCACCCAUAAAGAUGUCAAAUGCCGGAAAAAUUGGUUCUAAUCGAUCCGACUCGCAAAAAUCAAACAGUCACACACGGACCGUUACCGUUAAUGGUUUAAUGAAAGCCCAUUUAACACAAUCGAUCGUGGUCAAUGGCAUGGAUUGGAAUGUUAAAGGGAGUGAACUUCUAGAGAUUCUAGACAUCGUGGGAGCUUUGAAUGAAACCACACCUCAGAAUGGAUCAACUGAAGAUCUAUGUUUCACGUGACAUCUUAGGGACGGAACUAGCAUAGAAGUGAACGGAAUUGUUAACGGCUCAAU